rnacentral:rRNA from 1 species
UUGCCAGCCGCCGCGGUAAUAACCGCGCCUCAAGUGGUAGCCACGAUUAUUUGGCCUAAAGCACCCGUAGCCGGCUUUGCAAGUCUCUGGUGAAACCCAGCAGCAGACUGUUGGAACGGCUGGAGAUACUACAAGGCUUGAGACCGGGAGAGGGCAAGAGUACAUCAUGUGGUAGGGGUAAAAUCCUUUAAUCCAUGAUGGACCACCUGUGGCGAA